rnacentral:rRNA from 1 species
ACGUAGGGUGCAAGCGUUAAUCGGAAUUACUGGGCGUAAAGCGUGCGCAGGCGGUUUUGCAAGACAGGUGUGAAAUCCCCGGGCUUAACCUGGGAGCUGCAUUUGUGACUGUAAAACUAGAGUAUGGUAGAGGGGGAUGGAAUUCCGCGUGUAGCAGUGAAAUGCGUAGAUAUGCGGAGGAACACCGAUGGCGAAGGCAAUCCCCUGGGCCUGUACUGACGCUCAUGCACGAAAGCGUGGGGAGCAAACAGGAUUGGAUACCCUGGUAGUCCACGCCCUAAACGAUGUCAACUGGUUGUUGGAUGGCUUGCCGUUCAGUAACGAAGCUAACGCGUGAAGUUGACCGCCUGGGGAGUACGGCCGCAAGGUUG